ensembl:lncRNA novel transcript
CUGGCAAGGAGCCCAGCUGCAGAAAUAAGCAGGCAAACGCGAGUUUCUGAGCCAGUUCCAGCCCGGCCCAGAUGUUGGCCCCUGACAACUAGCUGUGGCUGGUGCGGAGGGAGGAGCGAGGGAAGAGGGGCAGAUCGAGGCUGCCAGAAACAUAUGAAGCUCAUUUCUGCCACCCUUCCUAGAAAACUGGUUCCUGACAGAGACAUGUGGAAAGGUAAGUAAACCUGGGCCCAAGAUCACAGAGCACACAGCUGGAAUUCACAGCAAGACCUGAUUGACUUCGAAGUCAGUGGUCUUUCCCCUGCUUCCCACGAGACAGGUUACUACAUGAAGAGCUGGGACUGGAAUACAGGUUUUCUAUGUUCACCUGGGGAUAGCUUUUCCAUCAUCCCUCCUGAGUCUGUGAGGUAUCCCAGUUUUUAAGCCAGAACUUUGAAACCAGAAGUAAAUGGUUAAGUUUAUCUGUCUAUGCCUAUGUGUAUUCUAGCCAAAUAAACCAUGACACUUAAAACAA